UACGAACUGUGCAAACGUUAUUCGGAAUCACUGGGCUUACAGGGUGCGUAGGCGGUCUGUUAAGUAGGGUGUGAAAUCCCCUCGGCUCAACCGGGGAACUGCGUCUGAUACUGGAUGGCUUGAAUUCGGGAGAGGGAUGCGGGAAUUCCAGGUGUAGCGGUGAAAUGCGUAGAUAUCUGGAGGAACACCGGUGGCGAAGGCGGCAUCCUGGACCGGCAUUGACGCUGAUGAGCGAAAGCUAGGGGAGCAAACGGG
rnacentral:rRNA from 1 species